rnacentral:rRNA from 1 species
AGUGAACGCUGGCGGUAGGCCUAACACAUGCAAGUCGAACGGCAGCACAGUAAGAGCUUGCUCUUACGGGUGGCGAGUGGCGGACGGGCGAGGAAUACAUCGGAAUCUACUUUUUCGUGGGGGAUAACGUAGGGAAACUUACGCUAAUACCGCAUACGACCUACGGGUGAAAGCAGGGGAUCUUCGGACCUUGCGCGAUUGAAUGAGCCGAUGUCGGAUUAGCUAGUUGGCGGGGUAAAGGCCCACCAAGGCGACGAUCCGUAGCUGGUCUGAGAGGAUGAUCAGCCACACUGGAACUGAGACACGGUCCAGACUCCUACGGGAGGCAGCAGUGGGGAAUAUUGGACAAUGGGCGCAAUCCUGAUCCAGCCAUACCGCGUGGGUGAAGAAGGCCUUCGGGUUGUAAAGCCCUUUUGUUGGGAAAGAAAAGCAGCAGGUUAAUACCCCGCUGUUCUGACGGUACCCAAAGAAUAAGCACCGGCUAACUUCGUG